GAUGAACGCUGGCGGCGUGCCUAAUACAUGCAAGUCGAGCGAACAGACGAGGUGCUUGCUCCUCUGACGUUAGCGGCGGACGGGUGAGUAACACGUCGAUAGCCUACCUAUAAGACUGGGAUAACUUCGGAAAACCGGAGCUAAUACCGGGAUAUAUAUUGAACCGCAUGGUUCAAUAGUGAAAGGCGGUUUUGCUGUCACUUAUAGAUGGAUCCGCGCCGCAUUCGCUAGUUGGUAAGGUAACGGCUUACCAAGGCAACGAUGCGUAGCCGACCUAAGAGGGUCAUCGGCCACAUUGGAUCUGAGACACACUCCAUACUCCUGCGGACGGCCGCAGUAGGGAAUCUUCCGGAAUGGGCGAUUGCCUAACGGAUCACCACCGGGUUAGGGAUGAAGGUCCACUGAUCGUAAAACUCUGGUAUUAUGGAGGUACAAAUGUGUAAUUAACUAUGCACUUCUUGACGGUACCUAAUCAGUAAGCCCCGGCUAACUACGUG
rnacentral:rRNA from 1 species